rnacentral:lncRNA from 1 species
CGGCGCAUCAGUGACUGGCCGCGAGCGAUUGACCGCAUAAGCAAGCGACCAGGCAGCGAGCGGUCGCGAAGCCAAUUCCCCGCGAGUAAAAGCGAGCGAUCACAGAAGCAAGCGACCCCGAAGAGCGCGUGGCCGCGAGCGAAAGCAGACGAUCGCGAAGAUAUGGCCGCUAAGCGAGAUGGUCGCGAGGACAUCAGCGAGUGGCCGCGAAGCGAGUUCUAGCGAGGAACACUUCGCGAACGCUUUUCUAGCGAGCACUGAUCAAGUGAGGCGAACGCUAGCAAGGAACAAGAGGCAGAGCUCGCUGAAUACAGGUGGCCUGAGCUUCGCCAGCGAGGUUUGAUCCGGCAAAGCGCUUUGCAGAACUUCCUCCAACAAGAUGUGCGCGCGCAGGGGCGAAGUCGAUCUUAGGCCAGCGAGUGAGCUUUAAUGGACAACAUGCCAGCCACUGUGGCAGAUGUCAAGGCGGAACAAAGUGGAGGACUUUCGACGCUAAAGCACCUUCAGAGAGAGUUUCUUCUGGCAGCGAGCAGAACCGCGGGGAGCUACAUGUCCAAUCCGGAGUAAUCUCCCACUGUUUCUACG